rnacentral:rRNA from 1 species
AGAGAGUGCAAGCGUUAAUCGGAAUUACUGGGCGUAAAGCGCACGUAGGUGGAUAUUUAAGUCGGAUGUGAAAGCCCUAGGCUCAACCUAGGAAUUGCAUUCGAUACUGGGUAUCUAGAGUAUGGUAGAGGGAAGUGGAAUUUCCGGUGUAGCGGUGAAAUGCGUAGAUAUCGGAAGGAGCACCAGUGGCGAAGGCGACUUCCUGGACCAAUACUGACACUGAGGUGCGAAAGCGUGGGGGAGCAAACAGGAUUAGAUACCCUGGUAGUCCACGCUGUCAACGAUGAGAACUAGACGUUGGAGGGUAUUCCCUUUAGUGUCGAAGCUAACGCGUUAAGUUCUCCGCCUGGGGAUACGGCCGCAAGGCUA